rnacentral:rRNA from 1 species
GGGUCGUAAAACUCUGUUGUUAGGGAAGAACAAGUGCUAGUUGAAUAAGCUGGCACCUGGACGGUACCUAACCAGAAAGCCACGGCUAACUACGUGCCAGCAGCCGCGGUAAUACGUAGGUGGCAAGCGUUAUCCGGAAUUAUUGGGCGUAAAGCGCGCGCAGGUGGUUUCUUAAGUCUGAUGUGAAAGCCCACGGCUCAACCGUGGAGGGUCAUUGGAAACUGGGAGACUUGAGUGCAGAAGAGGAAAGUGGAAUUCCAUGUGUAGCGGUGAAAUGCGUAGAGAUAUGGAGGAACACCAGUGGCGAAGGCGACUUUCUGGUCUGUAACUGACACUGAGGCGCGAAAGCGUGGGGAGCAAACMGGAUUAGAUACCCUGGUAGUCCACGCCGUAAACGAUGAGUGCUAAGUGUUAGAGGGUUUCCGCCCUUUAGUGCUGAAGUUAACGCAUUAAGCACUCCGCCUGGGGAGUACGGCCGCAAGGCUGAAACUCAAAGGAAUUGACGGGGGCCCGCACAAGCGGUGGAGCAUGUGGUUUAAUUYGAAGCAACGCGAAGAACCUUACCAGGUCUUGACAUCCUCUGACAACCCUAGAGAUAGGGCUUCUCCUUCGGGAGCAGAGUGACAGGUGGUGCAUGGUUGUCGUCAGCUCGUGUCGUGAGAUGUUGGGUUAAGUCCCGCAACGAGCGCAACCCUUGAUCUUAGUUGCCAUCAUUAAGUUGGGCACUCUAAGGUGACUGCCGGUGACAAACCGGAGGAAGGUGGGGAUGACGUCAAAUCAUCAUGCCCCUUAUGACCUGGGCUACACACGUGCUACAAUGGACGGUACAAAGAGCUGCAAGACCGCGAGGUGGAGCUAAUCUCAUAAAACCGUUCUCAGUUCGGAUUGUAGGCUGCAACUYGCCUACAUGAAGCUGGAAUCGCUAGUAAUCGCGGAUCAGCAUGCCGCGGUGAAUACGUUCCCGGGCCUUGUACACACCGCCCGUCACACCACGAGAGUUUGUAACACCCGAAGUCGGUNGGGUAAC